UAUGGGUAUUUAUUUAGCACCGGCAAUUUACGCAGCCUUUUACAUAGUUCCACAUUCACAACACUCCCUGCCCUCAAGGAGCAUACAAUCUAAGGUCCCUAUCUAACAUAGCGCCAAUUUAGACA